AUGAAGACCUGUAUGAAUGGCAUAACGAGGGCUUAACUGUCUCCUCUUUCCAGUCAAUGAAAUUGAUCUCUCCGUGCAGAAGCGGAGAUAAGUACAUAAGACGAGAAGACCCUAUGGAGCUUUAGACACUAAGACAGAUCAUGUUAAAUACCCCACAGAUAACGGCCUAAACUUAAUGAUGCCCUGUCCUAAUGUC
rnacentral:rRNA from 1 species